rnacentral:rRNA from 1 species
GAUGAACGCUGGCGGCGUGCCUAAUACAUGCAAGUCGAGCGAACGGACGAGAAGCUUGCUUCUCUGACGUUAGCGGCGGACGGGUGAGUAACACGUGGAUAACCUACCUAUAAGACUGGGAUAACUUCGGGAAACCGGAGCUAAUACCGGAUAAUAUUUUGAACCGCAUGGUUCAAAAGUAAAAGACGGUCUUGCUGUCACUUAUAGAUGGAUCCGCGCUGCAUUAGCUAGUUGGUAAGGUAACGGCUUACCAAGGCAACGAUGCAUAGCCGACCUGAGAGGGUGAUCGGCCACACUGGAACUGAGACACGGUCCAGACUCCUACGGGAGGCAGCAGUAGGGAAUCUUCCGCAAUGGGCGAAAGCCUGACGGAGCAACGCCGCGUGAGUGAUGAAGGUCUUCGGAUCGUAAAACUCUGUUAUUAGGGAAGAACAUAUGUGUAAGUAACUGUGCACAUCUUGACGGUACCUAAUCAGAAAGCCACGGCUAACUACGUG